rnacentral:rRNA from 1 species
UAUAGGAGGUCCAGCCUGCCAGUGACUACAAGUUCAACGGCCGCGGUAUUUUGACCGUGCAAAGGUAGCGCAAUCACUUGUCUUUUAAAUAGAGACCUGUAUGAAUGGCUAAACGAGGGCUUAACUGUCUCCCCUUUCCAGUCAGUGAAAUUGAUCUGCCCGUGCAGAAGCGGACAUAAAAAUACAAGACGAGAAGACCCUUUGGAGCUUAAGGUACAAAACUCAACCACGUCAAGCGACUCAAUAAAAAGCAAAAACUUUGUGGAAUAUGAGAUUUUACCUUCGGUUGGGGCGACCACGGAGGAAAACAAAGCCUCCAAGUGGAUUGGGACAAACCUCCUAAAACCAAGAGAGACAUCUCUAAGCCACAGAACAUCUGACCAAACAUGAUCCGGCUGCCCGAAGCCGAUCAACGAACCAAGUUACCCUAGGGAUAACAGCGCAAUCCUCUCCCAGAGUCCAUAUCGACGAGAGGGUUUACGACCUCGAUGUUGGAUCAGGACAUCCUAAUGGUGCAGCCGCUAUUAAGGGUUCGUUUGUUCAACGAUUAAAGUCCUACGUGAUCUGAG